AUUGAACGCUGGCGGCAUGCCUUACACAUGCAAGUCGAACGGCAGCACGGGAGCAAUCCUGGUGGCGAGUGGCGAACGGGUGAGUAAUAUAUCGGAACGUGCCCAGUCGUGGGGAUAACGUAGCGAAAGCUACGCUAAUACCGCAUACGAUCUAUGGAUGAAAGCGGGGGAUCGCAAGACCUCGCGCGAUUGGAGCGGCCGAUAUCAGAUUAGGUAGUUGGUGAGGUAAAGGCUCACCAAGCCGACGAUCUGUAGCUGGUCUGAGAGGACGACCAGCCACACUGGGACUGAGACACGGCCCAGACUCCUACGGGAGGCAGCAGUGGGGAAUUUUGGGACAAUGGGCGCAAGCCUGAUCCAGCAAUGCCGCGUGCAGGAUGAAGGCCUUCGGGUUGUAACGU
rnacentral:rRNA from 1 species